GUGGCUCAAUGGUAGAGCGUUCGACUCAAAUACCAAAGGUCGCGGGUUCGAGCCCUCC
rfam:Schistocephalus solidus strain NST_G2 genome assembly, scaffold: SSLN_contig0005802